rnacentral:rRNA from 1 species
UUAGUAUGCAGUAUUAAAUACCCGGUCUCGUCUGAUCUCAGAAGCUAAGCAGGGUCAGGCCUGGUUAGUACUUGUAUGGGAGAAAAUCUGUUUACCUACUACC